UACGUAGGGAGCGAGCGUUGUCCGGAUUUAUUGGGCGUAAAGGGCGCGUAGGCGGUUCGGUAAGUCGGAUGUUAAAUCUCCAAGCUCAACUUGGAGCUGUCAUCCGAAACUGCUGUGACUAGAGUCUGGUAGGGGAACACGGAAUACCUGGUGUAGCGGUGAAAUGCUUAGAUAUCAGGUGGAACACCAGUGGCGAAGGCGGUGUUCUGGGCCAGUACUGACGCUGAUGCGCGAAAGCUAGGGGAGCAAACAGG
rnacentral:rRNA from 1 species